rnacentral:rRNA from 1 species
UAGGGAAUCUUCCACAAUGGACGCAAGUCUGAUGGAGCAACGCCGCGUGAGUGAAGAAGGCUUUCGGGUCGUAAAACUCUGUUAUUGAAGAAGAACGUGCGUGACAGUAACUGGUCAUGCAGUGACGGUAUUCAAUCAGAAAGUCACGGCUAACUACGUGCCAGCAGCCGCGGUAAUACGUAGGUGGCAAGCGUUGUCCGGAUUUAUUGGGCGUAAAACGAGUGCAGGCGGUCUUUUAAGUCUGAUGUGAAAGCCUUCGGCUUAACCGAAGAAGGGCAUCGGAAACUGGGAGACUUGAGUGCAGAAGAGGAGAGUGGAACUCCAUGUGUAGCGGUGGAAAUGCGUAGAUAUAUGGAAGAACACCAGUGGCGAAGGCGGCUCUCUGGUCUGAUACUGACGCUGAGGCUCGAAAGC